rnacentral:lncRNA from 1 species
CUAAGGACACAUGGAGAGGAAGUUUGCCGUGGUGCAGUGGAGUGAAGGGGAGGAUUUUGGAAAGCUCAGCGAGAUAAAAACUGAUGCCAUAAGGGGGUAUGAUGAUUCCAAGAUGGACCACGAUGGGAAUCCCAUUUCCAACUAUUCAACUGUCAUUGAAUGGCGCCAUGGGAAGAAACAACGAGGAGGGUGGCCUCACUACAGAGGCAUCGUCAUCUUUGUUAGUGCCACUCGUUUUGAGACAACUCGUAAACUUAACUCACUGCUAAAGGAAGACGAACCUGCAGAGCUGGCAAAGAGGGUGUCAGUGGCCCCCCAAAAAUAUGGGGAUGAUUCGGAAGGCUCAACCGAUACUGAGACUCAGUCAUUGCAAGUUAAGAGGUCAAAGGUUCCCACGAGGACAGACCCCGCAGACGAGUUUCUUAAGCAAUAUGGUCAAUCACAGCCUUCUCCAGAUAAUCAUAACAAUCAGAGGAAGACUGCAGUUGAAUUAAAGCAGGAGAUCAAGGACCUAAAAGCAGAAAAUGCUAAAUUGAAGGAGAUGGUUCUUCGAGAUGUGCCAGGACUCCUACAGAGCAUGAGGAAUAUAAUUGAUUCGGCUGCAUCUCCUGAGAGAUCCAGGUUGGAGCUUAACACACCACCGCUGGUCCUCCCAGGUUCUCCGCAGUCCGGGUCCAGUUGUCCAUCUGCCACUUCACUGCUGUCCGUACCCAGAUCUACGGUGUCCAGUUCCAGGUCUGCAUCUGUCACUCCAUCACUGACUGUCUCCCAGUCUUCUAAGGUUGAGAUCCAUCCUGGGACCGGAGUCAUGGUUGAGAGACUGGCAUGGGCCUAUGCCCUCAAUGCAAAUUCGGCCUCAGUAUUUGUAAGACAUCUGCUCACCGCAGUCUUCCCGGUAGAAGUACUGCUAGUGAGCAAUCUUCGGGGCAACAAACGAGGCAGAGGAGAUGCUCGUCUACCGCUGGACAAAAAUAAAUUGGAUGCCAUUUACAGUGCAACUCUUGAGAGGUGGCCAGGGACCCAGCUCUCCAGCAUUGGAAGCACGAUCAACGCCAAGAUUACGGAGCUCCGGUCAAAAAGUAAAAACGUUGCUGUAUCCGCAGCUCUCCAUUAAACUGUUUUGUUUGCUGUAAGUUUUACACAAGUGUAUCACAUAGGCCUUGGCCCUGAGCAAAUACUGGUACUGACUACUGUCUGCUGGAAGCAUUUGUGGCACUUUAACCAUACUACGCACUGCUUAGUGCUUGUUUAGUGAAGCAUGCUAAACAGUAGGCAGUACUAGCAUUUGCUCAGAGAUCUUUGCCAAGGUUCAACCUUAGCUCUAUCCGGGUUAGGGUCGAGUGUGAAAAACGCCUGCAGUUGUUGCAGAUGUUCGCUGUCUCUGAGGCGCAGCUCUGAAUGACAGCCAGCACCGUCAUUUGACAUCACUGGAGGCAGAACAACAGAUUUUGCAGCUGCGCACCAGAGACACAGAGAACAUCCUCAACAACUGCAGAUUUUUUUUAACAUUAUAUCCCUAACCUCGGAUAGAUAGAGGUAAAAUUGAUUUCCCUUUAAGCCCUGUUUUUCCUUUCUUUGGAUGUGAAGAGGCAAAUCAGUUAGAUGUGUACACCUGUUUGUAAUGACAACAAUUAGUUGAGGGUGACACUGUUCCCAUAUUAGUAGUAGUAGUAGAAUAAGCAUUUGCUCUUCAUGUCUGUAUGCAGGCAUGACACGUGUUAAAUAUCAUAACUAAUUGAGAGUCAUAUUUCUAUCUUGCCACUAGUUCAUUCAAAGAAUAUCUUUGAAAACACGAUCUUUCCUAAGAUUAGAGUUUACUGCUGUUUGUUUACUGCUGUCGGCACUGUAAUCCCAGCAAUGUUCCACUGUUAAUAAAGACAUGUUUUCAACAUAACAGAUCUAUACAGACUGCAUUUAUAUCACUAUAUGGUGAAAUUAGUUGUUCUGUGCGAUGACCAGGCAAACCACGUCUUGCCAGUUUUAAACUUGUUUCAUCCAAGACAGUAUCAGUAUAGGAACAUAUGAAGUCCUGUCAUUUUAAUAUGUGAUUCAUAUGUUUUUGACUACAGAAACAUGUAUGAAAUGUCAUAAAUUAAUACAUAAAAAGCAUAUAUUUGUUAUACUGUAAUGGAAAUUUGCAUUGCCAG